rnacentral:rRNA from 1 species
UACAGAGGGGGCAAGCGUUAUUCGGAAUUAUUGGGCGUAAAGGGCGCGUAGGCGGCCUGACAAGUGGAAGGUGAAAUCCCUCGGCUUAACCGAGGAACUGCCCUCCAAACUGUUUGGCUUGAGUCCGGGGGAGGUGAGUGGAAUUCCCAGUGUAGCGGUGAAAUGCGUAGAUAUUGGGAGGAACACCAGUGGCGAAGGCGGCUCACUGGACCGGAACUGACGCUGAUGCGCGAAAGCGUGGGGAGCAAACGGG